UACGGAGGGGGCUAGCGUUGUUCGGAAUUACUGGGCGUAAAGCGCACGUAGGCGGCUUUGUAAGUUAGAGGUGAAAGCCCAGGGCUCAACUCCGGAAUUGCCUUUAAGACUGCAUCGCUCGAAUCAUGGAGAGGUGAGUGGAAUUCCGAGUGUAGAGGUGAAAUUCGUAGAUAUUCGGAAGAACACCAGUGGCGAAGGCGACUCACUGGACAUGUAUUGACGCUGAGGUGCGAAAGCGUGGGGAGCAAACAGG
rnacentral:rRNA from 1 species